UCGAUUUUAACGGAUUGCUCCUGAAAAAAGA
rnacentral:rRNA from 1 species